rnacentral:rRNA from 1 species
UUAGCAUAUCAAUAAGCGGAGGAAAAGAAACUAACAAGGAUUCCCCUAGUAACUGCGAGUGAAGCGGGAAAAGCUCAAAUUUAAAAUCUGGCAGUCUUUGGCUGUCCGAGUUGUAGUCUGGAGAAGCGUUUUCCGUGUUGGACCGUGUACAAGUCCCUUGGAAUAGGGCGUCAUAGAGGGUGAGAAUCCCGUCUUUGACACGGACUGCCAAUGCUUUGUGAUGCGCUCUCAAAGAGUCGAGUUGUUUGGGAAUGCAGCUCAAAAUGGGUGGUAAAUUCCAUCUAAAGCUAAAUAUUGGCGAGAGACCGAUAGCGAACAAGUACCGUGAGGGAAAGAUGAAAAGCACUUUGGAAAGAGAGUUAAACAGUACGUGAAAUUGCUGAAAGGGAAACGCUUGAAGUCAGUCGCGUUAUUCAGAACUCAGCCUGGCUUUCGCCUGGUGUAUUUUCUGUUUGACGGGCCAGCAUCAAUUUUGAUCAUUGGAGAAAGGUCAGAGGAAUGUGGCACCUUCGGGUGUGUUAUAGCCUUUGGUCGUAUGCAAUGGUUGGGAUUGAGGAAUACAGCAUGCCUUUAUGGUCGGGGUUCGCCCACGUUCAUGCUUAGGAUGCUGGCGUAAUGGCUUUAAACGACCCGUCUUGAAACACGGACCAAGGAGUCUAACAUGCCUGCGAGUGUUUGGGUGGAAAACCCGAGCGCGUAAUGAAAGUGAAAGGUUGGGAUCCCUGUCGUGGGGAGCACCGACGCCCGGACUUGAACUUCUGUGACGGAUCCGCGGUAGAGCAUGUAUGUUGGGACCCGAAAGAUGGUGAACUAUGCCUGAAUAGGGUGAAGCCAGAGGAAACUCUGGUGGAGGCUCGUAGCGAUUCUGACGUGCAAAUCGAUCGUCAAAUUUGGGUAUAGGGGCGAAAGACUAAUCGAACCAUCUAGUAGCUGGUUCCUGCCGAA